rnacentral:rRNA from 1 species
CGGGAGGCAGCAGUGGGGAAUAUUGCACAAUGGGCGCAAGCCUGAUGCAGCGACGCCGCGUGAGGGAUGACGGCCUUCGGGUUGUAAACCUCUUUCACCAGGGACGAAGCGUGAGUGACGGUACCUGGAGAAGAAGCACCGGCCAACUACGUGCCAGCAGCCGCGGUAAUACGUAGGGUGCGAGCGUUGUCCGGAAUUACUGGGCGUAAAGAGCUCGUAGGCGGUUUGUCGCGUCGUCUGUGAAAUUCUGCAACUCAAUUGCAGGCGUGCAGGCGAUACGGGCAGACUUGAGUACUACAGGGGAGACUGGAAUUCCUGGUGUAGCGGUGAAAUGCGCAGAUAUCAGGAGGAACACCGGUGGCGAAGGCGGGUCUCUGGGUAGUAACUGACGCUGAGGAGCGAAAGCGUGGGUAGCGAACAGGAUUAGAUACCCUGGUAGUCCACGCCGUAAACGGUGGGUACUAGGUGUGGGUUCCUUUUCACGGGAUCCGUGCCGUAGCUAACGCAUUAAGUACCCCGCCUGGGGAGUACGGCCGCAAGGCUAAAACUCAAAGGAAUUGACGGGGGCCCGCACAAGCGGCGGAGCAUGUGGAUUAAUUCGAUGCAACGCGAAGAACCUUACCUGGGUUUGACAUACACCAGACGCGGCUAGAGAUAGUCGUUCCCUUGUGGUUGGUGUACAGGUGGUGCAUGGCUGUCGUCAGCUCGUGUCGUGAGA